CCUACGGGAGGCAGCAGUGAGGAAUAUUGGUCAAUGGACGAGAGUCUGAACCAGCCAAGUAGCGUGAAGGAUGACUGCCCUAUGGGUUGUAAACUUCUUUUAUAUGGGAAUAAAAUGUUCCACGUGUGGGAUUUUGUAUGUACCAUAUGAAUAAGGAUCGGCUAACUCCGUGCCAGCAGCCGCGGUAAUACGGAGGAUCCGAGCGUUAUCCGGAUUUAUUGGGUUUAAAGGGAGCGUAGGUGGAUUGUUAAGUCAGUUGUGAAAGUUUGUGGCUCAACCGUAAAAUUGCAGUUGAAACUGGCAGUCUUGAGUACAGUAGAGGUGGGCGGAAUUCGUGGUGUAGCGGUGAAAUGCUUAGAUAUCACGAAGAACUCAGAUUGCGAAGGCAGUUCACUGGACUGCAACUGACACUGAGGCUCGAAAGUGUGGGUAUCAAACAGGAUUAGAUACCCUAGUAGUC
rnacentral:rRNA from 1 species